rnacentral:rRNA from 1 species
AAUAAGCGGAGGAAAAGAAACUAACAAGGAUUCCCCUAGUAACGGCGAGUGAAGCGGGAAGAGCUCAAAUUUGUAAUCUGGCACUUUCAGUGUCCGAGUUGUAAUCUCGAGAAGUGUUUUCCGCGCCGGACCGCAUACAAGUCUGUUGGAAUACAGCGUCAUAGUGGUGAGAACCCCGUAACUGAUGCGGAUGCCCGGUGCUUUGUGAUACACUUUCGAAGAGUCGAGUUGUUUGGGAAUGCAGCUCAAAUUGGGUGGUAAAUUCCAUCUAAAGCUAAAUAUUGGCGAGAGACCGAUAGCGAACAAGUACCGUGAGGGAAAGAUGAAAAGCACUUUGGAAAGAGAGUUAACAGUACGUGAAAUUGUUGGAAGGGAAACGAUUGAAGUCAGACUUGUUAUCUGGAGUUCAGCCUUUCGGUGUACUCUCCAGUUUACAGGCCAGCAUCAGUUUUCGGGGCGGGAAAAUCGUAAUUAGAAGGUAGCAGCCUAGCUGUGUUAUAGCUUUUUACUGGAUUCCGCUUUGGGGACUGAGGAACGCAGUGUGCUUUUAGCAAUACCCUCGGGUAUUUCACACUUAGGAUGCUGGUGGAAUGGCUUUAAACGACCCGUCUUGAAACA